CCUCCCCAAGUAAAUUUUAUCUUGCUCCUGUGAAGAUCAACAGCAGCUGGAUGAAGAACCUAUCAUCGUCCCUUGAGUUAUCUCCCUUCCUCAAGUAAAUUUUAUCUUGGUCCUGCAAAGAUCAACAGCAGCUGGAUGAAGAACAUGUCGUCGUCCCUUGAGUUAUCUCCCCAAGUAAAUUUUAUCUUGGUCCUGCAAAGAUCGGCAGCAGCUGGAUGAAGAAUCUGCCAUCGUCCCUUUAGUUAUUUCUCCAAGUAAAUUUUAUUCUGCUGCUGUAAAGUUUAACAACUGGAUAGGAAGAGGCUGUGAGCGACCUAGCUCCCUUGAGUUAUUCUCACAAGUAAAAUUUAUUUAGCUCGUGUAACUAACAGAUGGAUGGUUGAAAGCAGUGGGCUGGGAACUCUUGUGGUACAAUUAACCAGCUUGCUGGUCUGGGUGCUACCGGCGCCAUCUUUUUCUUGCAACCUUGUUCUGUCAGCAAGAAGAUGCAUUUCAGCUACUGUCUUCCUGAUGCAGUUUAUUAAUACUAG
rnacentral:lncRNA from 1 species